CUGACGUACAUUUACAGUAAAGCAAGACUUUUUAUGUGAUUCUGGUUUUGUUGGGCUUUGUGCCGCCCACAGCGCGUCUUUGGAGGUGAACUGUGAAGGUUAAGUGCAAGAAGACACGUACGAUCACGGGGGAGAUUUUUGUCACGACGCCAGGUGUUAGAAGUUGAAGUGUUUAUCCUAAUCCUGCUAAUGAAGAUCAAAAAACAAGAUGAGCGCAGGAGCUGUCCCUUUCAAGACAUUCAAAAAGCUCAACAGAAGAUAGAUGCUGACCUGUGCUCUUCCAAAUGGACCUCAGACAUAUUGACCCACUUGCAAGAGCUGAAGAAGGUGCAGGUGAUUGGCAGAUACCAACUGCUCCACUCAAGUCCAUCCAAGCCCUUUGCAGCCUGAAGUGGAGACACAGGGAUGGAUUAGGGCAGAAAACAUCCUUUCCGUGUAUCUGACAGAGAGAAGGGAGAAUACAGGAGGGCGGGUGCAGGAGGCGGAGGAGCAAAGAUGAAUGGGCCGGGGGAGCGGAUGCCAGAAUGCUGUUGACAAUCGAACUGGCUUUGAACUGCUUCUAAUCAAUUGUCUUUUCUCACACGAGCAGAAGGCUCGCUGCAA